AAGAGAUCCAUCAAGUUUUAGUUGUACUAAAUAAAAUAUUCCUUCAUUUUAUCGAUGAAUAUAUUUUAUUUCGGUACUAAUGUUGUCUCGUUUAUUGUGGUCAUAGGAUGGAUGACGAAAGUUAAAAUAGUAAUUCCUUGACCCAAGAGACGAUGGACUCAAGCGAGGAGUACACAGACAGUGAGAUGAUAAGAGAUUUGAUAGUUAGGAACGACGACUUAAAGGUUAGAGUUGAGCAGGCGGAAGCACAGAACCAUACUCUCCAGAUUUCGGAACAGCAGUACAAGGACGCUGCUCACCGAACACAGAUGGAGUUAGCCGAGUUACGAGGGAGGUUGGAGCAAAGAGAGAUACAGAUAGGACAGCUGAAGGUUGAGAUAGAAGCCAACGACACCAAGAUAUAUACCUUGGAGCAGGCUUUAGACAUCACCUUUAUACGAUUCGACACGAAGUGGAUGGAGCUGCCUUUCGGCAGAGAGAGAUAGGCGUUGAUGAGAAUUGAAUAAAUUUAUCGUCAAACAAAAUAAGAGACAACGUAUAUAAAACUCUUGAUUGCUGUGUAUAUAUACUAUAUGCUAAUCAGGGUAACUUAUGUAUGUAGAUG
rnacentral:lncRNA from 1 species